UGGUGGGUUGCCUUGUCAGGUUGAUUCCGGUAACGAACGAGACCUCAGCCUGCUAAAUAGUCACGCUCAGUUUUCUGGGUGGCAGACUUCUUAGAGGGACUAUCUGCGUCUAGCAGAUGGAAGCAUGAGGCAAUAACA
rnacentral:rRNA from 1 species